UUCCGGUUGAUCCUGCCGGAGGUCACUGCUAUUGGGAUUCGACUAAGCCAUGCGAGUCGAGAGGGUUCGGCCCUCGGCUGACGGCUCAGUAACACGUGGAUAAUCUGCCCUUAGGUGGAGGAUAACCUCGGGAAACUGAGAAUAAUACUCCAUAGGUCUAGGAUGCUGGAAUGCAUCUAGACUGAAAACUCCGGUGCCUAAGGAUGAGUCUGCGGACUAUCAGGUUGUAGUCAGGGUAAAGACCUGACUAGCCUACGACGGAUAUGGGUUGUGAGAGCAAUAACCCAGAGAUGAUAUCUGAGACACGAUAUCAGGCCCUACGGGGCGCAGCAGGCGCGAAAACUUCACACUGUGCGAAAGCACGAUGAGGGAAUCCCAAGUGCCAGCUCGUAAGAGUUGGCUGUUUUUCUGUUUAAAGUGCAGAGAGAGUAAGAGCUGGGUAAGACGGGUGCCAGCCGCCGCGGUAAUACCUGCAGCUCGAGUGGUGACCGUUAUUAUUGGGCCUAAAACGUCCGUAGCCGGUUUAGUAAAUGCCUGGGUAAAUCGUGUAGCUUAACUAUACGAAUUCCGGGUAGACUGCUAAACUUGAGACCGGGAGAGGCUAGAGGUACUCCUGGGGUAGAGGUGAAAUUCUGUAAUCCUGGGGGGGACCACCAGUGGCGAAGGCGUCUAGCUAGAACGGAUCUGACGGUGAGGGACGAAGCCCUGGGGCGCAAACCGGAUUAGAUACCCGGGUAGUCCAGGGUGUAAACGCUGCUUGCUUGAUGUUAGUCGGGCUCCGAGCCCGAUUAGUGUCGGAGAGAAGUUGUUAAGCAAGCUGCCUGGAAGUACGGUCGCAAGACUGAAACUUUAAGGAAUUGGCGGGGGGAGCACAGCAACGGGUGGAGCGUGCGAUUAAUGGGACUCACGCCGG
rnacentral:rRNA from 1 species